GAUUCUCUCUCCCUCUCUCUCUGUCCCUCCCCUGCUCACACAUGCAUGCACUCUCCCUCUCUCUAAAUAAAAAUAAACGUUAAAAAAAAGAAAUGACAACAUGUGUUCAGCUGGAUGUUAGAGUCACUAUGGUGUGGUUGCUAUGGUGAGUGUUGUGACCCACCCUUUACUUUAUCAGAAUGGUAGUGUUGACUGCAUUUAUCCCAUGCCUGUCCCUCCAUCAAAAGCUGGGUGGGGGGGGGGGGGUACAGCUAACACAUCUCUUUCAUUUACACGUCUUCAGAUCAAGAGAAGUCACACCCAAAGUCAAAUGAAGAACUACAUCCAAGGAGCCUUACCUGCACUUGUACCUGAUUUAGAUACUGGAUUUAGAUUCUGGACCUUGAACCUGAGCCCAGUGCCAUAAUAGGAUAAGACUUGGGGGCAGGGCUUGCAAGGGGGAGAAGGGGAGUAGAGGCUGAUCCCUGAGCCCAGGGAGGAUCUUUCUCACGUGGGGCUUACCCCAAAGUGUUCAGGUCAAUAGGACUUGUGGAAAAGAAGACGAAAGUGGGAACUGCCUGGAGACCUGCCUGCCCCUCACCAUCAUGUCCUGGCCCUGAUUGCUUGAGGGACUUGAGGGAGAAAAACAAAAGACAUGCUUCUGACAUUCUCACUGAACUUCACUUGUCCUUGGUCAGUAAAGCAAGGGAAGCACCUUAAACACUGUCUGGAAACUUCUUUAGCUAGAUCACCCAGUUUAUUAGGUACAUUUUCUACUUUCUGAGUUACUGAGUUCUGAGUCACGCAGGUGACUGUGUAGCUAAACUUUCUGCCACUAUGCAGAAUGGAUUCCCGUCUCUGACUUUUAAAAGACAUUUUCCUCCAUUUCCUUUAAGCUCUCGUCUGAAGUAUCCUUU